GACGAACGCUGGCGGCGUGCUUAACACAUGCAAGUCGAACGGAAAGGCCCUGCUCUUGUGGGGUGCUCGAGUGGCGAACGGGUGAGUAACACGUGAGUAACCUGCCCUUGACUUUGGGAUAACUUCAGGAAACUGGGGCUAAUACCGGAUAGGAGCUCCUGCUGCAUGGUGGGGGUUGGAAAGUUUCGGCGGUUGGGGAUGGACUCGCGGCUUAUCAGCUUGUUGGUGGGGUAGUGGCUUACCAAGGCUUUGACGGAUAGCCGGCCUGAGAGGGUGACCGGCCACCUGGGGACUGCGAUACGGCCCAGACUCCUACGGGAGGCAGCAGUGGGGAAUAUUGCACAAUGGGCGGAAGCCUGAGGCAGCAACGCCGCGUGCGGGAUGACGGCCUUCGGGUUGUAAACCGCUUUCGCCUGUGACGAAGCGUGAGUGACGGUAAUGGGUAAAGAAGCACCGGCUAACUACGUG
rnacentral:rRNA from 1 species